UUCAUACGUGUAGCUGUGUGUAAUCCUGUACAUCAUGACAAUGGUGAAGAAGAACACCCUGUGCUGCUUUAUGGCCGUCCUCAUGGUCGUCAUGGCUACUGCUCCUCUCUCAAGCCAAGCACGCAAAGAGAUGGGUGCGACUCCUACUGCUUUUCCUCUGCCGGCGUCAUGCUACACGCGCCAGUUGCCGAACUGCACUGAAGACCGGUGCAAGAUGUUAUGCGGAGGUGCCGCCGGAGCCUCCUGCAACUACCAAGAUAGUUGUUGCUGCCCCGUUUGACCAAAUGCCCCUGCAGAAGCGAGAAUGAAAUAAUUAAAGAUGUCACUACUAUAUAAUUAUAAUUUGGAUAGCAUUGGUUUGGUGAUAUAUUUUUUCGAGAAUGUUUUGGUGAUAUUUUCAUUGGUCUUGUGGCCAGACUAAGGAAUACAUGAUACUAUGUUUGUUCUAA